rnacentral:rRNA from 1 species
CGUUCCCUCUGGCGGUAGGCCUAACACAUGCAAGUCGAACGGCAGCACAGGAGAGCUUGCUCUCUAGGUGGCGAGUGGCGGACGGGUGAGGAAUACAUCGGAAUCUGCCCAGUCGUGGGGGAUAACGUAGGGAAACUUACGCUAAUACCGCAUACGACCUUCGGGUGAAAGAGGGGGAUCGCAAGACCUCUCGCGAUUGGAUGAGCCGAUGUCGGAUUAGCUAGUUAGCGGGGUAAUGGCCCACCAAGGCGACGAUCCGUAGCUGGUCUGAGAGGAUGAUCAGCCACACUGGAACUGAGACACGGUCCAGACUCCUACGGGAGGCAGCAGUGGGGAAUAUUGGACAAUGGGCGCAAGCCUGAUCCAGCCAUACCGCGUGGGUGAAGAAGGCCUUCGGGUUGUAAAGCCCUUUUGUUGGGAAAGAAAUCGUUCAGGCUAAUACCCUGGGAGGAUGACGGUACCCAAAGAAUAAGCACCGGCUAACUUCGUG